GCUUAAUUAGAGGGUUAUAUGAGGGGUUGCACAACCCAGUAACAGGUGUUGCUCGACACCUAACCUCAAGACCCAGACACUUUGCUCUCUUCAUUUGCUCUGCUUUGUGAGAAUCUGUAAUUCAGCACAGUGGCUUGGUUCAAUUUGGUUUAUCUUUUGGGAUAUUCAGGACUCCAAAUACGGGAUAACCAAAAGCGGCAAUGGCUUAUUAACAAUGGAUUCGCAAGUCUGAGACACGGCUUCUGCUGACAUGCUAUGUUGGCAGACUUGACAUUCUUCAAUCGACUGUUCAAGUUGGGAGUUAUUUUUUUCUUUAUAAAUGGUCAUGAUCUGGUACUGAAUUAGUUUCAUACUGAGGUUAUCUUUCAUCUUUUAAUGAUUACGUAACUCAAAUGUGGAUAGGGUUUAAAUUUUAUCAAGUUCAAGUAGGAUGAUCACCACAAUGUAAGGUGGAAAGAAAGCAAACACAAAGCAAAGAAUUUUAAAUGGGAUAUAUCAAUCACCAAUUAAUGGUCGAUUGUUUUGAUAAGUUGAAUAAGUGAAAUUGAUUUUCUCUGUUAUUUUUUCUUCCCCUUUUUCUCCGUUCUUUUAUCUUAGCAGCUUUUUCUUUGGUAUAUUCUACUUGAGCCUUACACAGGCAUUCCUGCAAAAUGGUAAUAGUAUAAGUACUUCAGAUCCUAUUCUAAUGUGUAUGACACGUUGAUAGUAAUACCAAACGUAGUUACUUGAGUCGACUGUUUUUUUUUGUUUGGUGUUACAGGUAAAUUACAAAGGUGUAAACCCCAAAAUUGCCAACUUAGACAUCCAAAAAAGACAGUCAGCGUAUGCUUUCUCAAUUUUCAAGUCAUGAUGGUGGCACUGGUUGACAUGGUUGGCUUUUUGGGGUUAAGUUAAUCUCAAAUGCAUCUGUGUGUGUUACAUUAUAGUGAUAGAUAUUAGGUUAUGUUAAAUAGGUAGUGUUUAUUGUGUUAUUCUCUACUUUGAAACCUCCUGAUAUGUAAUGUUUUAGUUUCGAUAACAGGUCUAAGACUGUGAACAAGCUCUUACUGUAUGAAGGUCAGUGAACUUUCAUUUGUAAUGACUUAUGUAAUGUGUGUAUAUAUAUAUAUAUAUAUAUAGUCUUGCACCUGUUUAUAAAUGACUAUGAGCUCUUAUAAAAUUUAUAUGCAAGUGCUUCUGAUGUAGUUUUGCCAUUUUAGAGUUAGAUAUACAGAGAAUGCAUAGUCCAAUUACUAUGGCACUGAAGCAAAAGGAGGAAACCUACCAGCUCCAAGAAUCAGGUCCAACAAAAUCUUCGGUUUGAGGCCUUAAGGUCAAGCAGGAUCGGGUUUGUCUUCAUGAAGGAAGGAUGAGAUUCUACGUUUCGGGUUAUAGAUACAAAUUGGAGGUUUUGAGUUGUGGAUCAUACUGAUUCAGUCACAUUCACGGCAAUAGGAAGGGGAUCUGGUAGUUUGUUUGGAAUAUCAUGUGAAAAAUUGGUGAAUGAAGGAGGACAAGAAAAUAAGAAUUCAGCUCCACCAGCAAUUUCUUACACAGAUCUUCUAGGUAGGACCAAGGUAUUUCAUGUGGGGUAUUGCGUAAGGAAUGAUUAUGUCAGAAACCCCCCAGAGUUGCCAACGCCAGAGAAACCUGCUUCCAAAAGAAGACUGAGGAUGUCAUAACCUAAAUGGCUAAAAUUCUGCCAAUAAACUAAGAAUGUAUCAUCCUUUAAUUGACAAAUAACUCAAUUUGUGACUAUAGUGGAUUUUAACAGAACAUGGAACCAAAGCUUUGAUUCAGUGCAAGUUGGCAUUCUACUGGAUUCUCCCUAUAACUUAAUUUCUAUUCAUAUCAUCUCUUUGUAUUUUUAAUAUUUCAGUUUCCAAUUGACACCUCUAUUUCAUUGUGGCUUAACGAAAUUGUACUUUAUGCAUGUUAAUUUUUAUCAACCAUGUUAUCAAAAUAACUAAGUUUCUACAGUCGUAUCAGUUCAUAGUUAGCCAAAGAAUAAAACUCAAACUUA